GGGCCCGCACAAGCAGUGGAGCGUGUGGUUUAAUUCGACGCAACGCGCAGAACCUUACCAGGGCUUGACAUCAUAGUGCAAAGGCUGGAAACAGUCUCCCUGUAGCAAUACAGCGCUAUGACAGGUGUUGCAUGGUUGUCGUCAGCUCGUGUCGUGAGAUGUUGGGUUAAGUCCCGCAACGAGCGCAACCCCUAUUUGGUGUUGCCACCGGGUAAAGCCGGGCACUCACCGAAGACUGCCGGAGACGAUCCGGAGGAAGGUGGGGAUGAGGUCAAAUCAUCAUGGCCCUUAUGCCCUGGGCCACACACGCGCUACAAUGGCCGGUACAACGGGCAGCUAAAGAGCGAUCUGGAGCGAAUCCCUUAAAGCCGGUCCCAGUUGGGAUUGGGGGCUGCAACUCGCCCCCAUGAACCCGGAAUUGCUAGUAAUCGCGGAUCAGCUACGCCGCGGUGAAUACGUUCCCGGGCCUU
rnacentral:rRNA from 1 species